rnacentral:lncRNA from 1 species
AGAGAUGAAGCCAGCUGGGCUUCCUGAGUCAAGUGGGGACUUGGAGAAUUUUUCUGUCUUACAAGAGGAUUGUGAAACACACCCAUCAGUCCUGUGUAGCUAGCAAAGGGAUUGUAAAAUGCAUCAAUCAGCACUCUGUAAAAACACACCAAUCAGCUCUCUGUAGCUAGCAGAGGAUUGUCAAAUGCACCAAUCAGUGCCCUGUAAAAUGCACCAAUCAUCACUCUGUAAAACGCCCUAAUCAGCACUCUGUAAAAUGCACCAAUGAGCAGGAGUCUAAAGGUAGCCAACCACAGGGAAGAUUGAAAAAAGAGCACUCUGGUAGGACACAAACAGAACAUGGGAGGGGACAAAUAAGGGAAUAAAGCCUGGCCACC